rnacentral:misc_RNA from 1 species
AAAUUUAUGAUUGUUUCAAUCUGAGUUUUUCAUCCUAGCUUCUUUUCAAUUCUUUAACCCUGCGGCAUUUAGAACAUUUUCUUUUCAGCUAGGACUGUAGUUAGCCUGAAAGUUGUCAACAUAUUGUGGUGAUUGAUUCAUUUGCCAUUUGCAUUCAGUUUUGGUUGAUGCUCCACGCCUUCCCUAUGUUAUUUUCUCUUAGAAGUAGUCUGCCAUGUAUUUGUGAUCGUACUAACCCAAUUUUGACUGGCUAGGCAUGUGAAGUAAUGGAAGUUUGUGGAUUUAUGUAUUGAAUGUUCAUGCUUGGUGCGCAUAUUCUAGUGUCACGCUGGCAGGCUCUGAUGCCAUUUUUAGCUGAGGAAAAACUAAGCCUCAUAUAAAUUAUAAUAAAUGUGAAUUCAAUUUUUUGAGAUUGAGCCAUCUCAUAUAGCUUGUCUUUUUUAAACCUGAA